rnacentral:rRNA from 1 species
GACAGAGGGGGCAAGCGUUGCUCGGAAUCACUGGGCGUAAAGGGCGCGUAGGCGGGAUGGCAAGUCGGUCGUGAAAUCCUUCGGCUCAACCGAAGAACGUCGGCCGAUACUGCCGUUCUUGAGGGAUGCAGAGGAGAUUGGAAUUCCCGGUGUAGCGGUGAAAUGUGUAGAGAUCGGGAGGAACACCGGUGGCGAAGGCGGGUCUCUGGGCAUCUCCUGACGCUGAGGAGCGAAAGCGUGGGGAGCAAACAGG